GCACAGAGUCACAGUUUAUAUUGUUUUUCACUGAACAUUUAUAUUAUAAUGACAGUAAACCACCAAGACAAUCUGUAAGUUACAUUUUGAUGCCAAACAAGGAACAUUUCAUAAUACAGUAGCUGAAGUGACUGUGAGAGACCUGUGGCAGAAAGAUGAAGCAAACUCCAAGAAAACAGAUGCACACAACACGGCUGAGGUCAAAAAGACAGAACAGAGGGAGGAAGGCAGUAUAUAUAUCACCUCUCAUCAAG